UAUAUGGAUUUUUCCUCAGUUAAAACAGAAUUACAGGGGGAAUCUGAGAAAGAGCCAGGAGACUAGGAAAGUAGCUGCCAGUUGAGAGGAGACAGAGGCCCAGAGGCCUGGAGCAGGACUGGGUGAGGGCAAAGUGGUCAGAUUUGAGGCAUACCCUAGAGGCAGAGCCAAAAGAAUGCCUUAACCUUUGCACUACCCGCCCCUCGCCUCGCCCCAAUCAGGACUGAUGAAAUGUCAUCUUUCGACAGACACACCACUGAGAACUGUAAACACCCCAUCCCCUUCACUCCCAAAAAGGAAGAGUCCAGGAAGCAGACAGCAGCGCGCAGGCAGGAAUGGUGGUUGGUUCCCAGUUAGGUACAGACCGGGAGGGGCGCCCAGCUGCGCCUCCCUCCCCGGCCGCUAGGGGCCGCUGCCCCGCUGCUCUGCGGCCUCCAGCCAGUGCCAUGUUGUGAGCUGCCCUGAGGAGAGGUCUGUGUGGCGAGGAACCAAAGGAGGCCUCUGAUCAACGGCCAGUGAGGGACUUGAAUCCUGCCAGUGACUAGUGAGCCUGGCCGCAGAUUUUCCCCAGUCGAGCCUUCAGAAGAGACCACGGCCCCAGCUGCCAUCUUGGUUGCAGUUCUGUGAGAGACCCUGAGCCAGAGACACCCCGCUAAGGUCAUACCUGGAUUCUUGACCUGCAGAAACUGUGAAGGAAUACACAUGUAUCAUUUUAAGCCACUAGAAGCCAAAGCUGCUGGAAGAAGCCUCCUGGUGCGGGCCUGGCUGGGCUCUUCUGGGAUGAUUAGGGUGUUACUUGUCACCGUCUCUGGGUCAAGAACUCCUCUGAGGGAGUGCUCCUUCCGACCAAGAGGAAAGGUCAUCAACCAACAGUAUUCUCUCCACCCAACCCGGGGCUUGAACUACAAUACCGAGAUCGAGAGUCCCUCGCUCCACCAACUGAGCCAGCCAUGCACAAGAGGGAAAAGAAACCUGGCACCACUCCUCUUGCUUCUGGGAUCAAAGACGGUCUGGCUCCGGCUCCUCUGGACCCCAGGCUUGGCCUCCCCCCACCUCCAUCCCUCCCAUCAUCUGAUGGAUUCCGGAACCGCUGGGAGCUUAGGGAAGAAGAAAGAUCAUCUGUCUAAAGGCAUCAACAUCGCUUGCCUUUAAAUUUUUUCUUUUUUUAUUUUAAACCUUCCCACAAUUCAAAUGUUUCUCUUAUUAUCUUCUGCCGAGGGAAAAAAUUAAUAACACGGCGCAAUAUAAAACACUAAAUUAAAGGCAUUUUGGA